GCCUCAGUAGCUCAGCCUGGUGGAGCAAUUGCCUUGUAAGCAAUAGGCCGGGGGUUCAAAUCCUCCCUGAGGCU
rnacentral:tRNA from 1 species